CCACAUUUUUAGUCUUUAUUUUUUAAGUAAAUUCCAUUGAAUCAAAUAUAACAAAAUUACAGUUUUUGUUUGUAAUGAUCUUUGUUCACCACCACACAAUCAUAGUAGAAUCGAAAGUAAUAUGAGAACAUAAAAUGAUCAAGGACAUCAUUGUUUAGUAUAAUUUCUUAUUAAAGGUAAAUAUCCCCAUAUUUAGAAAAAAUUGCAUUGCUAGUUGCAAAUCUUAAACACCUCAAUGCUGAAGGAUCCUGUAUUUCCCCCCGCAAAGAUCCAGCAGCACAGAGGCUUUCAGAACACAAACUCAAAAAUACAGUAUUUUCAGGGCAGCAUUUUAAGUUUCAGAAAACCCAAACAAAACAAAACAAAAUCAGAAUUAGGAAUGUGAAAGUGAUGGUUCUCAAAAAGUCAAUCUGGAAGCAGAUCUGCCAACAUAAGAAUGUGGCUGAACAGAGUCUAACCAGGAAAAGGAGAGAUGCAAACUCGCUCCCCCUCCCAGCUCGCCAUCGUCCCCCGCCCCCAGUGAGCAAACCGCCUCCCUGCUCUGUGCUGUCUCUCUGAUGGCGUCCACCUCCAGGGCCAUGGCGAAGCACGAGCAGAUCCUGGUCCUCGACCUGCCCACAGAUCUCAAAUUCAAAGGCCCCUUCACAGAUGUAGUCACUAUAAACCUUAAAUUGCGAAAUUCAUCGGAUAGAAAAGUGUGUUUCCAAGUGAAGACUACAGCGCCUCACCGGUACUGUGUGAGGCCCAACAGUGGAAUUAUUGACCCAGGGUCAACUGUGACUGUUUCAGUAAUGCUACAGCCCUUUGACUAUGAUCCGAAUGAAAAGAGUAAACACAAGUGUAUGGUACAAUUUUUGCUCCACUGAACACUUCAGAUAUGGAAGUUGUGUGGAAAGAGGCAAAACCUGACGAAUUAAUGGAUUCCAAAUUGAGACAUGUAUUUGAAAUGCCCAAUGAAAAUGAUACAUUGAAUGACAUGGAACCUAGCAACGCUGUUCCACUGAAUGCAGCUGAACAAGAGGGACCCAUGCCAAAACCACACAGUGUUUCACUUAAUGACACGGCAACAAGGAAACUAAUAGAAGAGUGUAAAAGCCUUCAGGGAGAAAUGAUGAAGCUAUCAGAAGAAAAUCGACACCUGAGAGAUGAAGGUUUAAGGCUCAGAAAGGUAGCACAUUCGGAUAAACCUGGAUCAACCUCAACUGCAUCCUUCAGAGACGUCACCAGUCCUCUUCCUUCGCUUCUUGUAAUUGCAGCCAUUUUCAUUGGAUUCUUUCUUUUUUGGAGAUGGAGUCUCACUCUUGUCCCCCAGGCUGGAGUGCAGUGGCAUGAUCUCGGUUCACUGCAACCUGCCUCCUGGGUUCAAGCAAUUCUCCCACCUCAGCCUCCCGAGUAACUGGGAUUAUAGGCGCCCACCACCACACCCAGCUAAUUUUUGCAUUUUUAGUAGAGACGGGGUUUCACCGUGUUGGCCAGGUUGGUUUCGAACCCCUAACCUCAGGCGAUCCACCCGCCUCGGCCUCCAAAGUGCUGGGAUUACAGGCGGGAGCCACCAUGCCCGGCCUUCAUUGGAUUCUUUCUAGUGAAAUUCAUCUUGUAGAGUGAAGCAUACAAAGUGCUAUUUCUUUUUUUUUUUUCUCUU